rnacentral:misc_RNA from 1 species
AGUAAAUUGUUGAGGUGGUCACACGAUACGAUUUAACGAUGGAUUUUCGAUUUAUAAAACAUAUUCAAUAAUUUUGCUGUAAGGUAAAAAGUCAUUGUGACGUCACGAUUCUCACCAGAGAUUCGAUUGACAAUCGGACGCAUUACACAUUUCCAAUCGACUUCAGACUUUGCUUUCGACUUUCGACUUGAGUGGUCACACGGUACGAUUUUUAGUCGGAAGCUUAUCGGAUGAGAAAAUCUGAUGGGAAAUUUGGUAGAAAAUCGUAUUGUCUGACCGCACCUUAAUUAUGUGUUUUCAAUGAUUAAUUGAUUUUGAAUGCCUGUUUAUUUUUAUUCAACAUUACUGUGUGAAGUCCACGUUUUAACUUGAAAUAUUAACAUUUUAUUCUGAACAAGGAAUUUCAAAACAAUGUACCCAUCAAUGUAGACCGUUGUUUCCUUUUUAAAGAAAUGACUGGGCACAUGUACAGGUUCAAAAAAUUACUUGAACAACUGAAUCGAUGAUGAAACGAUAGGUAUGAAAAGAAAAUAUGUACGGAUAAAUCUGUUUCACCUUUUAUCACAAGUGGUUUAUCUGGAUACACCUAAGAAUUAGAUGAUUAAAACUCUGACGGUUUUGAGGGACAUGAAUCAGAUUUAUUCAUGUAGCUCAAAAGAAUUAUACCAGUACUUUAAAACAACACACUGGACAGAAGAAAUUGAAAAUUAUAUGUGAACAUAAAAAUACACAAGUAAGAGCCUUCAAUAAAAAGCUUGCCUGACUAAACAGAAUUAUUCAAUGGAAGCAUGCAUGGAUCGAUGAGGCUAUCUUUUAAAAAAUGAAUUUUGAUUUUCGCUGCUGAUCAUAAAUUCAUAAACGGAAAGUUUAUUACUUAAG